rnacentral:rRNA from 1 species
AUUGAACGCUGGCGGCAUGCUUUACACAUGCAAGUCGAACGGCAGCACGGGGGCGAACCCUCGGUGGCGAGUGGCGAACGGGUGAGUAACACAUCGGAACGUGCCCACGUUGUGGGGGAGUAACCUAUCGAAAGGUAGGCUAAUACCGCAUGAGCUCGGCAAGAAGGAAAGCGGGGGACUCAGCGAUGGGCCUCGCGCGACUGGAGCGGCCGAUGUCCGAUUA